AAUAUCUUCUUAACAAAAUAUGCAAGCGUAAAGAGUUACGCUACUGCGCAUGCGUAGGCGAAUCUCCUUAAAUAGGCAUAAUUUGUUAAAAAGAUAUUAAGCAAAGUUGUAGCCCUCAUCAAGACGAACAACUUUUAAUAAUAUCUUCUUAACAAAAUAUGCAAGCGUAAGAAGUUACGCUACUGCGCAUGCGCAGAUGUAUCUCCUUAAAUACGCAUAAUUUGUUGAAAAGAUAUU